GACGAACGCUGGCGGCGUGCUUAACACAUGCAAGUCGAACGGACAGGCCCUGCUUUUGUGGGGUGCUCGAGUGGCGAACGGGUGAGUAACACGUGAGUAACCUGCCCUUGACUUUGGGAUAACUUCUGGAAACUGGGGCUAAUACCGGAUAGGAGCUCCUGCUGCAUGGUGGGGGUUGGAAAGUUUCGGCGGUUGGGGAUGGACUCGCGGCUUAUCAGCUUGUUGGUGGGGUAGUGGCUUAACAAGGCUUUGACGGGUAGCCGGCCUGGGCGGGUGACCGGCCACAUUGGGACUGAGAUACGGCGCAGACUCCUACGGGAGGCAGCAGUGGGGAAUAUUGCACAAUGGGCGGAAGCCUGAUGCAGCAACGCCGCGUGCGGGAUGACGGCCUUCGGGUUGUAAACCGCUUUCGCCUGUGACGAAGCGUGAGUGACGGUAAUGGGUAAAGAAGCACCGGCUAACUACGUG
rnacentral:rRNA from 1 species